GACCAGUGCGCGCAUAUUCGUUGCACAGUUUGUUCCGAUUCGGACCAUUGGAAGCGCGUAAUCAAAUAACAACAAUCCUUUAGAGCUCGUUCACACAGGCUGUGUAAGUUAACGCGACACGUGCGUAGUGACGCGCGUGGUGUGAAUCGGCCAUUAUCCAUAACUCUAAGGCACGUCGUACACGAUAUAAGAAAACCCUAGCGAAGUAGGUACAGCUGGAGUGUAUCUUGCCUAAAAUUGUAUCUACAGUACAUACCUACCUAAAUGGCCAAAUUGUAGAAUGAAGUCCUAUGUUCUUUGUAGACAGAGACGCUCUAUAUAAAAGGAAUUGGAUUAUUAUUAUCGUGAACGAGGCGCUUUGACUUCAGUUCUUUUACCUACGUCUGCAUGGUAAUAAUCAAUGUUAUCUUUUACAACUGUUUGCAUGGAAUUUAUUAUAUUGGCAUUCCUGAAAAUUGCCAUGUAAUUUGCCGAAUGAAAAUGUU